AAACUUAUUGGAGUAUUUUUUCAGUUUUUCCACAUAAAAAGGACGAAAGCGAUCGAUUUGUAGAAAAAGAAAGGAAAAUUAAAUUUAUUGAUUGAUUUAUUAUUAGGUAAGGGAACAGAGAAAGAAGGAGCACAGAUUCACACAAAAAUCCAAAUCAUCGAUGGCUUAUGCUGGCGGGGUUUGGAUUUUGCCGUUGGUCGCCGCCUGGUGGUGGCUGUCCACGGCGGCGACGGUGAGGGGUUCGAAUUCGACGACGAUUUACGACGAGCUUCGGGCGCAGGGUCUUCCGGAGGGGCUUCUUCCGAAGGGAAUUGCCAAGUACUCGUUGAACGGAACAAGUGGGGAAUUCGAGGUGUGGAUGCCGGAACCCUGCAACGCCAAGUUUGAGAACGAGGUGCACUACGAUUCCAACAUAAAGGGUAUCCUCGGAUUCGGUCGGAUCGGGAAACUGUCCGGUAUGUCGGCGCAAGAGCUCUUUUUGUGGUUCCCUGUUAAGGGCAUUCGUGUGGAUGUUCCCACCUCUGGUCUUAUACACUUUGAUGUCGGUGUUGCGGAUAAGCAGUUAUCUCUGUCCCUUUUUGAAGACCCUCCUGAUUGUAGCCCUGAGGUUAAUGUUAGUAGUGAAGGUGUGCUGAGGGCUGCUUGGUAGAAGAUAAGAUGAACAUUGCACCAUUUCAAAUGACUCAUCAAUCGGUUCCUCUACCUGUAGUUGGUCUUCAUCGAUAUAUAUAUAUAUAUAUCUUGUACAGUGCGAUGCUUUUUAAUUUCUGUUCUGAUUGAAUGAAUCGCCUGUCUCAAGGGACAAAGGAUGAAAAUUUUUGAUGGUUCUGUGACAGACAAAGGAUGUAGGGUUAGAGUGGUUUAGCUAAUAUUAUAUAAAAAGUUUUAUUAUCUGUGUUUGGUCUUU